rnacentral:rRNA from 1 species
CCUACGGGAGGCUGCAGUGGGGAAUAUUGGACAAUGGGCGAAAGCCUGAUCCAGCCAUGCCGCGUGUGUGAAGAAGGCCUUCGGGUUGUAAAGCACUUUCAGUGGGGAAGAAAGCCUUGGGGCUAAUACCCUCGAGGAAGGACAUCACCCACAGAAGAAGCACCGGCUAACUCCGUGCCAGCAGCCGCGGUAAUACGGAGGGGUGCGAGCGUUAAUCGGAAUUACUGGGCGUAAAGCGCGCGUAGGCGGUCUGAUAAGCCGGUUGUGAAAGCCCGGGGCUCAACCUGGGAACGGCAUCCGGAACUGUCAGGCUAGAGUGCAGGAGAGGAAGGUAGAAUUCCCGGUGUAGCGGUGAAAUGCGUAGAGAUCGGGAGGAAUACCAGUGGCGAAGGCGGCCUUCUGGACUGACACUGACGCUGAGGUGCGAAAGCGUGGGUAGCAAACAGGAUUAGAUACCCCGGUAGUC